CAGAGGGUUGGUUGGUUAUUGCUGUUGCUUUCUUUAAACAUGUCCUUGUGGUUGAGCAGGAGAUGAUAGAUAGAUAGAUAGAUAGAUAGAUAGAUAGAUAGAUAGAUAGAUAGAUAGAUAGGCCAUGAAUUAGGCAGCAUGUGAUGGGAUGUUCAUAUGGAAAGAGCUGGAGAGAUGAAAGACAUUGGGGAAAAUAGUGGAAUUGAUUUACAAUUUAAUUCCAUUUUAAUCAAAAAACUUAAGAGUACAACAAAGAUCCUUUAAUCAAGAGAGGCUUAGAACUGAAUCAGGACGGAUGGAAAAUGUUGUGAUGAGUGGGGAGGCACACAGAAACCUUAUCUGCAGCCUCUCUGUAGACUGCUGGAAGGAAAGCAACCUGAAGGGCAUGCACACAACUUGGAGGAAAAAUACAUACUAACUAUGGCAAAACCCAAAGAUGAUGGUGACUUUCAGGCAUGGCUUGCCAAUCUGUGCCAGUUGAGCAUGAAGCUGAAUAUUGAAACUGAGCUCCUGUAGGUCUGGGAAGAUGGAGGAGAUGGAGCCCUUCUUCUACUACUGUUUGGAAAUACACAGUGGUGGGCUGAGUUUACUCUGGAAACAAAGCAACAUUCACCAGGAGUGAACCUGGAGCAGUUUCUGCCCCUUGACAGGGCCAGAGUUUGAACAGCUGGUUCUCUCUGCUGGGCUCCAGAAGGGGGUUGUGCUUCUGUUGUCCAAGCACAAAGUGUGAUUCAUGGACCACACACCAAACCACAAUCAGGGCUGUGAUGCUGCUACUCAAGGGAGCACAGAAUGCAUGUGCCAUGCGUGACUGGAAAGAUCACUUUCCAGUGAACACACCCCUGCCAGCAGAGCAAUCACGGAAGGACAAUAAUGACUCAGAGCUCGGGGUCGUCUGGAUCUUGACUAGACUACACCAGAGUACCACUGAUCUAUUGCAGGGAAGAGGUUCUUGGUUUGGCUACAGAUGGAGAAAACAGGUCACUGUCUGUCACUGAGGGACAUCAAGGCAGGACUCAAGGACCCAGAAGACAGAAACCAUGGAGGAGCACCACUGGAUGGCUUACUCUCUGGCCCAUGCUCAGCUAGCUUCCUUCUAUAGCCCAGACUACCUAUGUUCUGAAGCUCCCUCUUGCAUCUCCUCCAAGCUGGGAUAAGCACUGAUUGACUCAGGGACUUCACGUGUUUCAGCCACUUUCACACUUUCCAUCUCAAGCUUGAAUACAGUUGACAGAGGGAGCACUAAUUAGUUAAUGAGAGCUGUUAAAAGAAUUCCACACAUGUAUAAAAACAAGCAAAUGAAGAAAGGAGGAGGAGGAGGAGGAGGAGAAGAAGAAGAAGACGAAGCAGAAGAAGAAGAAGAAGAAGAAGAAGAAGAAGAAGAAGAAGAAGCUAUCAAUUUGAGAGUGGGGGUAUAGAAGGGGUGAGAGGGAGGAGAGGAAAGGAAGAAAGUGAUGUAAUUCUAUUUCAAUUAAAAACAUUGUUUUUUUUUUAAAGAAUCAGGAUGUUUUAAAAAUAUGAAGACACUAAGCCCACAAUAUUUUUAAAGGAAUAAAUUAGUGAAAAGAGGGCAGGCUCCUUACUCAGAAUCACAGCAUAGCUUGAAACACAGGAGAGUGAUCCACAGGCCGUCAUUGCAGAAUUCACUUCCUCCCCCGGGAAUUUGAUCAGUCUGAUUUUUGCAGACCUGAAAUACUCCAGGUUAUGUGCACUGGGCCUUCCUGGCCACAGCCUAUACCAGAUCUACAUCCUAAAUUCUCAGACUCCAUUGCCUUUGAAUAUUUUCACAACAAAGAGGGACAUCAAGUAGUAUAAACCAAAUAAUGCAGCUUCUGAGACCUCAAAAUGCAGCUUGGAUAAUUUAUGAUUUGUAUGGUAAUUUAUUUAAACAUCCUUCCUGCUAGACAAAUAAAUUGUUUUCAGAGUGGUUUCUAUUACAAAAAAUAAUACGGUGUGCUUAUAUAAGCAUGUAUGUUUAUCUUAAAAAAAUUUUUUUUUUAAACUGGGAACAAAAUAUCCUGGGGAAUAGUGGAAGUUUGAGAGACUGGUCCGGGCAGAUGGCACCACACUUCUACAGGCUUGCAUAGCACUUAAUAUCCCUUCCACACGGAUGCACUUUGCUUGCUCUGAAAACUUAAUUAAUGUUGUUGAUCAAUUAAUUGCAAGCAAGAGGGGAGGCAAAAAGCCUUGAGAAUGUCUGAAAUGCUGUUCUAGUAUGCCACAUUUACAUAUUACUCACACAGCAGGCACAGCUGAGGUGCCUCGAGUAAUAUUUGAGAACACAGUUAUGUACAUUGAAAGAAAAAAAAUUUAAAGGGCUUUAUAGGUCAAGAGGAGGCUAUUAAACAGAUUUCACAGAUUACUAAGUGACAGCGUUAGGAGUAGCAGAUGUGUAUUGGACUUACGUGGAACUUUUUAUUUAAUGUAAUUUAUUAAAUAUUAAAUAUAA